UACGGAGGGUGCGAGCGUUGUCCGGAAUCACUGGGCGUAAAGGGCGCGUAGGCGGCGCGGAUAGUCGGCGGUGAAAGCCCGGAGCUCAACUCCGGGUCGGCCGUCGAUACUUCCGGGCUUGAGCACUGUAGAGGCAGAUGGAACUCCGGGUGUAGCGGUGGAAUGCGUAGAGAUCCGGAAGAACACCGGUGGCGAAGGCGGUCUGCUGGGCAGUUGCUGACGCUGAUGCGCGACAGCGUGGGGAGCAAACAGG
rnacentral:rRNA from 1 species